UCUGCAUGCGACAGAGACUUUGAUCGUGAUAUUUUCACUGUAUAUCAUCAGCUCUGCCUGGAUUGGUUCGCAAAGUGAAGAGGUUAUAAAACUGAAAACCACUUUUAUAACCUCCACUAGGCGUGGAAAUCAUGUCAUCUGACAGCAUCAGAAAAAGACCAGCUAUAGGUUGUUAGAAAGGAACGACUGUCUAGUUUCUAAGGACACCAACCAUGAGGGGCGGAGCAGGAAAAUAUGUGUCCACCAUGUUUGGUAGACCUUUAAAUGGAAUCUCGAGUGUUUAAAGUUCUGUAAAACCGAUUAGUAACUGUGAAAGAAACGAUUUCAGCGACUUGCUUCAGGAACAUUAAAGCCUUUUCCUUCUAGGGAUUUAGAGAGUUUGGCCGUGUUUGAAGGACUCUUAGAGACGGUGAAGGACGUCGCCCUCUGGGCCCGGCACCAGGCGGGUCAUCCUGUCCAGACUGGUGGUGAGUUCAGGGGUCAAAGAGGUCAUGAGACGCUGAAGCUGAUCUGGCCUCUACUCGCCGUACAUCAUUGAUUUCCUCACCUUUACUCUAAAACAGGACCGGCCAAACAGAAAUGGGCUCCAACAGUCUGCCAGAAGACACCAGGACCCUUCACCAGCAGAAUGAGACUAAAAUAUAGCUGCAGGAAGCCGCCCUGGAUGAAAUGCAGCGUCCCCUGGACUGACAGACCACCGCAUGAGUUUCACAGCGAGCUGAUCGAUACUGUACACACAGGCUAUUCAUCAGAGAGCUGCAGCGGAGCGUGCUCAGUGCAGGCAGCUUCCACCAAAAUGGACGCCUUUCAUUCAGCGGCCGCGCUGGACGCCGCGCUGGACGCCGCGCUGGACGCCGCGCUGGAGGCCGCCAUCUUUGAUGCACCAGGGGAAAAUAAAAGUCACACAGCAGGAUUUUCUCUUGAUUUGUACAGUUCAAAAUCAACGUGACCAGUUGGACUGAAAGUGCAGCUUUUCUAAAAUACAUCAAAUGUAAAUAGUUUCAUGUGAGCUGACUGUCAGGAAGCAACACCCCCCCCCCCCCCCC